GUGAGGCAAUGCAAGAGGAAGAGAUUCACUAAAGACAGUGGGAAUAUAGGAACGUAGAGGAAAGCGGCACGUUCAUUUUCUCCUCUAGCAUUGAAGGUAGAAAUUUGCUUGUGUUUCCCUGAUGCCUCCUAUUCCUAUCGAUCUUAGGUACUCUUUCCUCUUUCUUUCAGCU
rnacentral:pre_miRNA from 1 species